CCUACGGGUGGCAGCAGUGGGGAAUAUUGCACAAUGGGGGAAACCCUGAUGCAGCGACGCCGCGUGAGUGAAGAAGUAUUUCGGUAUGUAAAGCUCUAUCAGCAGGGAAGAAAAUGACGGUACCUGACUAAGAAGCCGCGGCUAACUACGUGCCAGCAGCCGCGGUAAUACGUCGGGGGCAAGCGUUAUCCGGAUUUACUGGGUGUAAAGGGAGCGUAGACGGCGCGGCAAGUCUGAAGUGAAAGGCAGGGGCUUAACCCCUGAACUGGUUUUGAAACUGCCAUGCUAGAGUGCUGGAGAGGUAAGUGGAAUUCCUAGUGUAGCGGUGAAAUGCGUAGAUAUUAGGAGGAACACCGGUGGCGAAGGCGGCCUGCUGGACUGUGACUGACGUUGAGGCCCGAAGGCGUGGGGAGCAAACAGGAUUAGAUACCCCAGUAGUC
rnacentral:rRNA from 1 species